rnacentral:rRNA from 1 species
AUUGAACGCUGGCGGCAGGCCUAACACAUGCAAGUCGAGCGAGCGGCGGACGGGUGAGUAAUGUCUGGGAAACUGCCUGAUGGAGGGGGAUAACUACUGGAAACGGUACCUAAUACCGCAUACCAUCAGAUGUGCCCAGAUGGGCUUCGCUAGUAGGUGGGGUAAUGGCUCACCUAGGCGACGAUCCCUAGCUGGUCUGAGAGGAUGACCAGCAACAUUGGAACUGAGACACGGUCCAGACUCCUACGGGAGGCGGCAGUGGGGAAGAUUGCACAAUGGGCGCAAGCAUGAUGCAGCCAUGCCGCGUGUGUGAAGAAGGCCUUCGGGUUGUAAAGCACUUUCAGCGGGGAGGCGUUACCCGCAGAAGAAGCACCGGCUAACUCCGUGCCAGCAGCCGCGGUAAUAC